rnacentral:rRNA from 1 species
CCUACGGGUGGCAGCAGUGGGGAAUAUUGCACAAUGGGGGAAACCCUGAUGCAGCGACGCAGCGUGAGUGAAGAAGUAUUUCGGUAUGUAAAGCUCUAUCAGCAGGGCAGAAAAUGACGGUACCUGAGUAAGAAGCCCCGGCUAACUACGUGCCAGCAGCCGCGGUAAUACGUAGGGGGCAAGCGUUCUCCGGAUUUACUGGGUGUAAAGGGAGCGUAGACGGGAGCACAAGUCUGGAGUGAAAUGCCGGGGCUUAACCCCGGAACUGCUAUGGAAACUGUGCAGCUAGAGUGCAGGAGAGGUAAGUGGAAUUCCUAGUGUAGCGGUGAAAUGCGUAGAUAUUAGGAGGAACACCAGGGGCGAAGGCAGCUUACUGGACUGUAACUGACGUUGAGGCUCGAAAGCGUGGGGAGCAAACAGGAUUAGAUACCCGAGUAGUC